UUAUUCUUUAAAGAGAACAGCUUUUUGGAAAGGGCUGAAAGACUCCUCCCUUUGACAUGAUCUCAGCAGACCAGUGAAACUGAUCACGUAUUUGUAUAAUAGCAAAAUUUUGUACAGUGGCCAUUAUGCUGUGUGAAUUUUACUGUAAACACAUUUUGGAUGUGUUUAUGUUACAAUUUUUAGCAGCUGCUUCCCUACAGUAACUGUUUAGGAACACAAGAUGCAUCUUUGCACCCCAUAUAAGGAACAGAAGAUCUUACCGAAAAACCCUUUAGUUUUCUUUGCAUCUAGAAAUUUCGCUGUUACUUUGAGCUAGAUGUACUGUGGUCAAAUUACAAAGUUUUCUUUUAAAAUUUCGAUUCCCUGUUUGCAUUUAGGAUUUAGGAAUCAAAUUGAGGCAAAAGGGGUCACAAGAAGUGUCAAUGGGAUUAAACAAUAAACCGGUUUUAUUAACACAGGUAUUGCAGGGAUUUCAGCUUCAAUUUUUUGAUUACAAUAGUUUGAAAAUGAUUUUGGUUUCAUUUUGCUUGUGCUAAAGUAUACAUAACAUUGUUUUAGAUGCAUUUAAUAUGCUGCACAAGAAACAAACCCGUAACAUAUUUUUCUGAACUUCCUUUUAUGCUAUUGUUGACCAGAAACAGGAUGGAUUUUUGUCCUUUUAAAAAUUGACUUCAUUGCAACAUUAAAGGAUUUGAAGAUGAAUUAUUGUAAAUCUCUGGUUAUACAAAUAAAGUGUGUACGGUAAGCACUUUACAAACUGUGACAUUUGUUGAAACAAACAGUGAACAUGUAGACUUGGAACAAUUUUAAACGAUUAAUGGAGACAUGGGGAAAAUAAAAUCAAAAACUGGUACACAUUUUGGAGCUGUACAUGUAAACCAGAACUGAUACUAUAUCCAGAAACUGCAGCAGGGGAAAUGCCAGAUGGCAUUUUGUCUUAAAUUUGGGGUAGAAAUGUUUUAAUACAGAAUACUUCAAUAUAUUGAAGUUUCUACCACAGUCAUCAUAAUUGAGCAUGAGGAAUUAGAAGAGCAAAUUUUAGGGAGGAAAGGUGUAAGAGGAAUUUUUCACUUUACCAGAGUUCAUGAAUACCUUAACAAAUGGUAUCAAGUUGUUCAGUCCUGGAUUGCAUCACAACUGAGCCAAUUCCUACAACUGGAUGUCAAAAGUGGAUUUGGAGUAGAAAUUAUAAAUCCACAUCAGUAAUCCUGGAGUUCUGAGGCAAAUUCGGCAGGUUCACUGUCGUUGCUGGAAAACCAGAGAAUUGGAUGAAACCCAUGAUUUAUGCUUCAUUGUUUACCGGAUGGUUUCUUUGUCCAUUUAACCAUAAGGAGACUUUGUAUUUCUCAGUAAAUUAUUAUUGUGGAUUCUUUUCACUUUCCUUUCUGUAUCUCCUGCAAUCUCACAAGGGCAAGAAUCCGGUAUUGAAACUGCCAACACUUGAUCAAUAAGUUUGCACGUAAUUUAGAAUUUUCAACACUGGAAACUCAUUAAGUAAUACUUAAAAUAGGCAAGAUUGUAAAGUCAUUUCAAAGUGUGAGGGGGUAGAAAGUAACCUGAACAUUUUCCCAUGCAUAUCAUAAAUUAAUGGAUGAAUUUCGAAGACCCUUGGUACACGGGUAAUAGCCCAAAGAAGAAAUUGAGUUUAUGGUGAAGAUUCGGGUCUUGGAAAAUUCAGAGUGGCUACAAAACCACACAGUUGCAAGUGCAUUUUCACAAUAAGCAGAAACUGCGCUGCCUGGCAAGAAACAGUGAUCAGUAGUCUUGAAAGCAACUCGUGAUUCUCCUCCAUUUUUGUUAGUAGCAUUCUCGAAAGAUAAUGCCUCUACUGUGAAGGGUUAUAUCUCUUGCAAUGAAUGAGUACUCCCAGCCCUCCCUUCAACAAACUGUGAAACUUAAUUCAGCAAAAACCUUAGCAAUCAUCUCCCUGAGUGGAUCGCUAGUCAUUUAGCUAAAUUCACAUUUCUUAGAGAUUAUUUUAAAAAGUAAGAAAAUCAUUUUGAACAAUGACCUGUAAACCAAGUAAGAUGUUCAGAGAAGUGAAAACUAAAAUUAAUUUUUCCUCCUUCAGAACACCAGUUUCCAAAUAAUAUGAGCCUUCAUCACAAUGCUGCCAGACCUGCUCAGCUUUUCCGGCAACUUUGUUUUUGUUCCUGAUUUACAGCAUCCGCAGUUCUUUUGGUUUUUAUUGAUAAUGGUCCAGUUGCAGAGAUUUUAUAAUCAUUAUGGAAUCCAGGUAUUUCAGAUUAGCUGUAACCCUAGUUCUGAGCAUUGACUACACUUCAGUUACUAGGCUUACAACUUGCUUCACACUGAUCCAAUAUUAAGUGAUGACACUGCCUUAAGUGUUUGGACUCCUAAAUUGUUGUUUGAAAAUAAGCAGAAAGGUUAAAGACCAAAUGCUGGUUGUGUCUACGAUUAGUUUAUUUUCUCUGAUUGCAUGUAAGAUAAUCCGGGAGCAAAAGUAGGUCAUUCAGCCCUUGGUGCCUGAUCUGCCAUUCAAUUCAUGGCUGAUCUAAUGGAAACCUCAAAUCUCUGAUAACCUUUGAGACUUGAGAUUUUUAAAAAUGCCAGCUGAAGACUGAGCAACGGCAAACGUUAGAGUUUUAUCUUGACAUCAACUUCUUCAACCUGUUUAUUGUGUUGUGGUAUACCUCUGGAGCAGGUGUGACUUGAAUCUGGGCCUCCUGUUGCAAGAGAUCAGUGUACUACCACUGUACCACCAGAGCCCCUUGUGAACUCCUAUACUUUCAUUGCAAUAAUAUUUUUAUCUUAAUUGAAAUGGGGGAGCCUCCAGAACCCAAUCACCAAGCAGAAUGAAUUUUCAACCAAAUGUUAUAAAAUAUUUUAAUGCCAAUAAUGACAUCUUAUUGUUGAUUUACAAAUUGCCUAAUUUCAUACUUAGAGAUUGUGUUUUAUUAAAAGGUUGAAGUGACUUAGUUCAGUGCUUACUGGCUUAUUAAAUGAGAUUUAUAUUUCCACAGGUGAGUUUGUGAACUGCUGUAAUCAGGUUUAUAUGAAUUGUCAAGUGAAACACUUGCAUCAUGCAACUGGAUUUUUGCAUGUAACACUAUGAAAUCUAUGUUUCUUUGAAAAUCCUUGUCUUGAAAGAUAUAAGCAGUUCAGAGAGCUUCCUAUUCACUGAUUUCUUAUUUCCUAUGCAAGGUCAAAUAUUUAAGUAGGGUAAAAAGUGUAUGGUACAAGAAAUCAAUUGAUAUUAAAAUCAUUCAAAGCAAAA